GGGCGUGUAACUCAGUGGUAGAGUGUUCGCUUUGCAAAAGCCAAUGUGCGAAAAGUCCGGCGUUCGAUCCGCCGCUCGUCCA